rnacentral:lncRNA from 1 species
AAGCAUCAAAACAUGUAUUUAAUUUAAUAAAUUAAGGAAAGGAAAAAGCUAGAAAAAGAGAAAAAAGAAAUAUCUCAAUGAAGAUUGUAGUCUCUUGACUAAAAAUUUGAUGAAAUUACAAGUUCCAAUCCAACCGGUUGCUGUCUCUUUGUUAUGUGUGAGUGUGUUAGGAGAAAAGGAGCUGAGAGGGAGAGAAUGAGGUUUUGUAUUGGUGUUUGUUUGUGUAGUUGAGAGAAAACAGAGAGUCGAGAAUGAGUGAGAUUUGUUUGUGUUGUUAUUAACCAAAAAAAUGAGAGGAAGGAUUGAGAGAGAGCCGAGAGAAGAGUGAGGGAGAUUGAGUGGAGUGUUUUUUUUUUUUUUUGCUUGUCUGUU